rnacentral:rRNA from 1 species
GACGAGCGCUGGCGGCGUGCUUAACACAUGCAAGUCGAACGGAAAGGCCUGCUUUCCCUUGUGGAUUGCGGGUACUCGAGUGGCGAACGGGUGAGUAACACGUGAGUGAUCUGCCCCCAACUUGGGUAUAAGCCUGGGAAACUGGGUCUAAUUCCCGAUAGGACUGCAGGGUGGUGCCUGUGGUGGAAAACGAUUUUCUAGUGGUUGGGGAUGCGCUCGCGGCCUAUCAGCUUGUUGGUGGGGGAAUGGCCUACCAAGGCGGCGACGGGUAGCCGGCCUGGGGGGGUGGACGGCCGCAUUGGGACGGCGAUACGGCCCAGACGCCUACGGGAGGCAGCAUUGGGGAAUAUUGCACAAUGGGCGGAAGCCUAAUGCAGCGACGCCGCGUGGGGGAUGACGGCCUUCGGGUUGUAAACUCCUUUCGACCGCGAGGAAGCCACCUGGUUGGAAGGGUGGUGACGGUAGUGGUAGAAGAAGCACCGGCUAACUACGUG